GUCCACACAGUAACGAUGAAUACUCGCUGUUUGCGAUAUACAGUAAGCGGCCAAGCGAAAGCAUUAAGUAUUCCACCUGGGGAGUACGCCGGCAACGGUGAAACUCAAAGGAAUUGACGGGGGCCCGCACAAGCGGAGGAACAUGUGGUUUAAUUUGAUGAUACGCGAGGAACCUUACCCGGGCUUGAAUUGCAGAGGAAUAUAGUUGAAAGAUUAUCGCCGCAAGGUCUCUGUGAAGGUGCUGCAUGGUUGUCGU
rnacentral:rRNA from 1 species